CCUACGGGGUGCAGCAGUGGGGAAUAUUGCACAAUGGGCGCAAGCCUGAUGCAGCGACGCCGCGUGCGGGAUGGAGGCCUUCGGGUUGUAAACCGCUUUUGUUCAAGGGCAAGGCACGGUCGUUGGCCGUGGUGAGUGGAUUGUUCGAAUAAGCACCGGCUAACUACGGGCCAGCAGCCGCGGUAAUACGUAGGGUGCAAGCGUUAGCCGGAUGUAUUGGGCGUAAAGGGCUCGUAGGCGGUUCGUCGCGUCCGGUGUGAAAGUCCAUGGCUUAACGGUGGAACCGCGCUGGGUAUGGGCGGGCUUGAGGGCAGUAGGGGAGACUGGAAUUCCCGGUGUAACGGUGGAAUGUGUAGAUAUCGGGAAGAACGCCGAUGGCGAAGGCAGGUCUCUGGGCCGUUACUGACGCUGAGGAGCGAAAGCGUGGGGAGCGAACAGGAUUAGAUACCCGAGUAGUC
rnacentral:rRNA from 1 species